UAGCCCGGCGACCACCGACGCGGAGCCAGGUGGGGAGGCCGCAGGGCAGGACCGGCGCCGCUGUCGCGGGGAGCUCGGACUUGUACA
rnacentral:sRNA from 1 species